ACCCAGCUGAUGAGUCCCAAAUAGGACAAAACCCACGUCAAACUGGAU
rfam:Schistosoma margrebowiei strain Zambia genome assembly, scaffold: SMRZ_contig0002238